UGACCGAGUCAAGAGAUUGUUGAACUUACUUUUCCCUCUUACUCUCCUCUUCAAGACAACGCUACUUCCCGCUCGUGAUUCUGCACUGAAUUCCUGCAUUUCAAGGACCAGCGGCGCGGAAUGCAUUGCUGGCCAAAUUUGUUUCUCGAUUUCCACAUUCAAGAUCAAUCCGUAUAAUGCUCGGAAGGUUCUUUCAGGUUAUCGGAAUUCCAUGGCCAGAUCUCAACGACGGCUUGUUCUACAACGAUGUCGUUAAGCCCUCCGACUCCGGAAAGUCUUUGAUCGAGCUUUAUUUUUUUUUGCAAAUAUAAGAUAUCGGCUCCACUGGAGGGCGAAUUCAGAACGAACAGGUACGGUGGUCUUUAAUUUAGGAAAUUUAUGACUGUUGUGAAAGAGAUUGCACUGCUGCACAUUAUUUGGAACUUGUGUGCGUGCUUGUUUAUUUAAUUACAUUUUAUUUUUUUAAAGAUGUUUUGAAACAAAAUCAAUGUGGAAAGUGUAGAUAGAUCGAUGGCCAGGUUGUCACAAACAGUUCUCAGAUUAUUCACACCGGUCUCUUUACCCCCGAUUUUAUUAGUUUGUUCAAAAGCUUGCAUGAUAGCUUGAGUUGUUUUCAUAUAUUACAAGCUUUAGAAGAUUUGUUCAAAAGUUGUCUAUCGUCGGCUGCCAUGGAAAGAAUCAGAUACUCCGUAUUUGCUCGAGAUUUUAUACGAAUACGUCGAAACGAUUGCAUUAAGUAAGCCGUCUUGUUUGCAAGUAUUACCUGGCAGCAAUGCACAGUUUUGACGCAGCUUCAAUGAUGGUCAAGGAAGCAGAGUCCCUCUGACUGAAAAGGGUUGCAUCCUGUCCCUGUUCAUCGCCUGUGAAGGGGAACUUCAGUUUGCUGCAUAUUUUGCUGAUGGAACAUUUUGCGUUGGGAGAAACAGAUGCAGAUGCCCUAGCCAGGGGGAAGGAGGCUUUGGAUCCUGAUAUAUAGCAUAUUGCUAAAUCACCUAAAUAACGAUUCAGGACCGCUUGUCUUGCAAACCUAGAAAGAUUGAUGAAUGUGAAAUCUGUCUGGUAAACAAAUAACAGGUAACAGGCCUCCCCCACCCAGUGUCAGUAUCCUGAUUUUUGGUAGUAAAGGAAAACAAGAAUGAAUAAAUAAUAUGAGGAAGUGGCUGGUGACGAAGCAAUUAUAGAUAAAAGGGAUAGGUGAGUAAUUAUUUCAGUCAAGUCCUAAAAAAUGCUAGAGAAAGUGCGUCAUCUUCUAGGCAAGUAUUACAAACUCAUACAUUGGUGGGGGAAAGCUCUUUCCAAGGGAAACAAGCAGAUCCAGUUAUUAAAUCGAUAAGUUUUCACGUAUCUGCACGUUUUCAUUUUUGAACUUCUGGCUGUUAUAAUUGCUAAUUUUAGAAUAUAAGUUGCUAGUUUUCAGAAGUUAUCUAGCAAAAAAUACAUUAAUACUAGAAAAAUGUGAUGUAAACAUUCUAGAACAUCUGAACAUAUAAUAUCUUCGACUUUCUUACUGUUUUUUCUUGUCUAAACUA